rnacentral:rRNA from 1 species
GACGAACGCUGGCGGCGCGCUUAACACAUGCAAGUCGAACGAAGAGCGAUGGAAGCUUGCUUCUAUCAAUCUUAGUGGCGAACGGGUGAGUAACGCGUAAUCAACCUGCCCUUCAGAGGGGGACAACAGUUGGAAACGACUGCUAAUACCGCAUACGAUCUGACCUCGGCAUCGAGGAUAGAUGAAAGGUGGCCUCUAUUUAUAAGCUAUCACUGAAGGAGGGGAUUGCGUCUGAUUAGCUAGUUGGAGGGGUAACGGCCCACCAAGGCGAUGAUCAGUAGCCGGUCUGAGAGGAUGAACGGCCACAUUGGGACUGAGACACGGCCCAGACUCCUACGGGAGGCAGCAGUGGGGAAUCUUCCGCAAUGGACGAAAGUCUGACGGAGCAACGCCGCGUGAGUGAUGACGGCCUUCGGGUUGUAAAGCUCUGUUAAUCGGGACGAAAGGCCUUCUUGCGAAUAGUUAGAAGGAUUGACGGUACCGGAAUAGAAAGCCACGGCUAACUACGUG